rnacentral:rRNA from 1 species
GGGUGAGUAAUAUAUCGGAACGUGCCCAGUCGUGGGGGAUAACGCAGCGAAAGCUGUGCUAAUACCGCAUACGAUCUCUGGAUGAAAGCGGGGGACUCGCAAGGGCCUCGCGCGAUUGGAGCGGCCGAUAUCAGAUUAGCUAGUUGGUGGGGUAAAAGCCCACCAAGGCGACGAUCUGUAGCUGGUCUGAGAGGACGACCAGCCACACUGGAACUGAGACACGGUCCAGACUCCUACGGGAGGCAGCAGUGGGGAAUUUUGGACAAUGGGCGCAAGCCUGAUCCAGCAAUGCCGCGUGCAGGAUGAAGGCCUUCGGGUUGUAAACUGCUUUUGUACGGAACGAAAAGGUCUGCCUUAAUACGGUGGGCUCAUGACGGUACCGUAAGAAUAAGCACCGGCUAACUACGUGCCAGCAGCCGCGGUAAUACGUAGGGUGCGAGCGUUAAUCGGAAUUACUGGGCGUAAAGCGUGCGCAGGCGGUUAUAUAAGACAGAUGUGAAAUCCCCGGGCUCAACCUGGGACCUGCAUUUGUGACUGUAUAGCU